ACAUUUUGGCUUGGCUUUCUAAAUGAGAAUUUUUUGAGUGAUACCAGAGCUCAAGGCUAUUGAAAGUGAGGCUACAGCUCUCUUCCCAUUCUGCCAUCAUCUGCCUGUCCAGAACCUUGCUGCCAUCCAAGCACAGCUGGCUGAUGGAUCCUCAACCUACCAGAAAAGAUUCCUGUUGUUAAUCCUUUAGAGAAGUACAUGAACAAAACCGGCAGUAUGUCUCUAGGAUCUGAAGAUGACUUGAAAAAUAGCUCUGCAAUUUGUUCCUCACACAGCAAGUACUGUUAUAAAUGUCAAUAAACUAAGC